CGCCAGCCAAAUGUGGACCAACGAUGUUCAUGCCGUGGAGUGCGUUCCCUUUGUCUCUGGUUGUCGUGGAAAGUUGGGUGGACGUCGCGAAGAAAUAAUGCGUAUUGUUAGCGUGCCACUGCUCCUCCACUAUGCACCGGUAUGUCUGCUGGGAGUAACAUCGAAGCAUCGGCAACUUGGAGGGCGCUUUUCGACCGCGUCGUGCCAUUCAAAAGUGGUGAAGCCGUGACCCACAACAGUGUCCACAUAACCCGUGGCCAUGGCUGCAGCAGCACGGCAUGUAAUCUGGAUGGACAUAUCAGGGUACACGUGCACUUACUUGAAGAUGACGACACUCCACCUCAAGAACAGCCUCUCCUCAGUGAUAAGUAGCGAGAUUAAAUGAAAGGAAAAUAUCACAUCCGUAACCAGACUGAUACUGUGUUUUCCUUCCAUUUAACCUCCUUCUGCAUUUAAGGAAGCAUUGAU